UACGUAGGGCGCAAGCGUUAUCCGGAAUUAUUGGGCGUAAAGAGCUCGUAGGCGGUUUGUCGCGUCUGCCGUGAAAGUCCGGGGCUCAACUCCGGAUCUGCGGUGGGUACGGGGCAGACUAGAGUGAUGUAGGGAGACUGGAAUUCCUGGGUGUAGCGGGUGAAAAUGCGGCAGAUAUCAGGAGGAACACCGAUGGCGAAGGCAGGUCUCUGGGCAUACUGACGCUGAGGAGCGAAAGCAUGGGAGCGAACAGG
rnacentral:rRNA from 1 species